rnacentral:tRNA from 1 species
GGGAGCGGAUUGUGCCUGGUGGUGCGCCCGGACUUCAAAUCCGGCGAGAGGCAUGACGAGUGUCUCUGGUGGGUUCGAUUCCCACACGCUCCCGCCA